rnacentral:lncRNA from 1 species
GUUUACCUCAUUAUUAUGGAUUUGAUUGUUGCUAGAGACAUUUUUUUACCUUUUUGAACUUACUUGCCGAAAGUUACGAUUCCACCUCUGCUUCUAGAUAAGGUUGCAAAUUGUAUACAUAUAUGUAUAACUUAUAUAUUUUCUUUUUUAAAAAGUGCAUAAUUCAAAUGGAUACAAUAAAAUUGUACACUUUGUAGAUUUUACGCUCUAAAAUUAAGAUAUAACCUUUUGAUAGAUUAACACAAGAUAUAACCUUUUGACAGAUUAACACAAGAUAUAAUAGACGUUUGACUAUAUAUUUCAAUUAAAAAUACUUUAUUUAAAAUUAUUAAUUUAAUUUAAAUAUCUUGUGUGAGUAAAUUCUUUACCAAUAUACGAUAUCAGUGUGAAGUGUGAACUGAAACUCAAUUGUAAGAAUUAUGGGAGAGGUAUGGAGAUUGGAGAGCAUAUAUAAUGUCUAUUAAUGAUAUAGAUAUAAUGAACAAUUAAUUAAUGAGGGAAGUACAAGUCUGAAAUCGACAGUGGCCAAUAAUUCAAUUAAUCAAGACUUUAAAAAAUAUAAUAUAUCACACAUUGCAUUCAUAUGAACCGUUUUUAUAUUAUUUAAUGAACCUUAUAUAAUAAUGAACUCAAUAAUUACUUCCUUAAUUUUAAAUUAUAUGUUUGUUACACGUCUCUUGCAAAAUAAUAGUAGUUAGAAGGCUUUUCUUCAUUAUUUCACCCUCAUUUAUAUUUUAAAGAGAUAUUAUAGUUUAUUUCACCAAUUUUUUAGAAGAUAAAAAAUGCUUAUUUUUAAAAAAUGAGGUAUUUAAUCGAGUUUAUAAUAAAAAAUAAAUGUUUUGGAGAGUAGUAGAAACUGUUUUUAU